rnacentral:rRNA from 1 species
AUACGUAGGGUGCAAGCGUUAAUCGGAAUUACUGGGCGUAAAGCGUGCGCAGGCGGUUUUGUAAGACCGAGGUGAAAUCCCCGGGCUCAACCUGGGAACUGCCUUUGUGACUGCAAGGCUAGAGGAAGGCCGAGGGGGGUGGAAUUCCGCGUGUAGGAGUGAAAUGCGUAGAUAUGCGGAGGAACACCGAUGGCGAAGGCAAUCGCCUGGGCCUGUACUGACGCUCAUGCACGAAAGCGUGGGGAGCAAACAGGAUUAGAUACCCUGGUAGUCCACGCCCUAAACGAUGUCAACUGGUUGUUGGGUCUUCAUUGACUCAGUAACGAAGCUAACGCGUGAAGUUGACCGCCUGGGGAGUACGGCCGCAAGGUUGAAACUCAAAUGAAUUGGCGGGG